ACAUGCGACUCACAUCACUAGGACGCGAAGUCGCAGAAUAUGAAUAUGCUAAUUAAAGGGACAAGUGAUUAGGAACACGAAAAGAUGCAGGGGCGGCCAGCCGAUGGGGCCCCACCUCCUGUGUGCAAUUCCCUAAAUUUAGAAGGGGAACUUCGCCAUCAAAUAUCUUGGGAACCACGGCACCAAUUAUAGUCAUUCUAGGAGAUUUAUUACUGGCGCACAGUAUGAAUGACUCUCCAGUCUCUAUACCACUGAAGUCAGAUUCACACUGAGUGAAGCACCAAAUAGGUGAUCACAACUUGUUGCCAAACAUCAGUUCAGCGCCAAAGGGAGCAUGGACUGGCUGCUAGGAUGUCCCCCAUACACAGCACACAGAAAAGAGCAGAACCCCCCUCCAUCUCUAUCAAGCAAG